GUUGUCUUGCAAAGUAAGACUGUAUGCCAAAUACAGUCAAAAAGUUAAUGUGGUUGAGACUGAAAAUUCAGUUCUUUGUUUUUCUUUAUUAAGGUAAGAUUCAACAGACUGAUUAUUUUAGGGAUAAAAUUCACUGCUUUUAGGGAGCUUUAUGCUAUUGUGUAACCAUCACCAUUAUUUAAUUCCAGAGGAUUUCAUCGUCCCAGGGAGAAACCACACACAGUGAGAACUCGUUUCUGAUUCUCCGUUCCCAGCCCUGCCAGCUUCUCACCCAUGUCUGGAUUUUGUGGAUUGGUCUCUUCUGAACAUUUUGUACAAAUGGAUUCAUAUGGUAGGUGGCCUUUUAUGUUUGAGUUUUCUCAUUGGCCACAGUGUUUUCAUAGUUUACAUAUCAGCACUUCUUUUUUUGUUGUUGUUGUUACUAGGGAUUUAAUUCAGGGGCACUCAACCACUAGCCGCACCCCUAGCCCUAAUUUGUAUUUUACUUAGAGACAGGGUCUCACUGAAUUGCUUAGCACCUUGCUUUCUGCUGAGGCUGGCUUUGAACUCUCCAUCCUCCUGCCUUAGCCUCCUGAGCCACUGGGAUUACAAGUGCACCUUUGCACCCAGCUAGCACUUCUUUUUUAAAAAGAUUUUAUUUUAUAUUUGAUUGGCAUGUGUAGAUUGUGCCUUUUAAAGGGGUUUAGCAUGCUAGUUCUCACAUGCAUACAGUGUGCAGGUCCAGAUCCCACCUGCUCCUUCCAUCCCCCUACACCACCUUCACCACCUCGAGCACCCAUUUCCCACAUUCAAGUCAACCUCUUUUGGUUUCCACAUGUGAGAGGACAUGUGGUACUUGUCUGAAGAGCCAUUUUCUAACACGUCUUUUGGCAUGGUGUUUAGGGAUGCCAGGAGUUUGUAUAAAUGACCUGGUACUCAGUAAGUACUCAUUGUGUUUUAGUUUAGGUUGUGGAAGGUGACAGUCCACUGAGCAUAAUUUUAAAAAGUAGAAAUAUAGCUGGAUAACAAACUUCCAUAAGACAAAAAAGUUAACACCAAACAUCUCCCAUGUACAAAAAGAACAAAAGCCAGAUGUUAGCUCUCUCAGUAAUUAAAACCAUUCCUCUGUUUUACUUUCCCUCUCUCCAUCCCCAAGCGUGGGGUCAGAGCCAAGCCUGGUGUGUGUAUGGGGUGAGGAUGCAGAGGGUGACUGAAGGUCAGGGAGAUCUUUCCACCCUCCACGGCGGUCUUCCAGCCCAGUGCAGGCCUGAACUGGGCAGCAGACCCUCUCGCUGUGUGGGACAGGCUCUUCAUUAGUAACUUGUCUGCAGAUGUUAGCUACCAAAAAGACAUUGUUGUGCCUGAAGGUGCCUGGAGAAUAUCUUGUUAUCUGAGGGCCAGCAGGGAAGCUCUACCCAGAGUGUCACUCAGGUCAAGGGAAGAUGUAUCGGACAAAUUUGAACAGAAUGCUGGAGAGAUCAAACCAUGUUUGAAAAUUCUGAUUCUGUCUGUUGUGUACCACUCUUUCAGUGAGUCCUACAUUUUUUAUUUUAUCAAUAAGUAGAUUAAAAACAACUUUCUACUAGCUCCAUUAUUUCAUUUAAAAAAGAAAAGAGAUCAGAAUACAAACAGGGGUGGGGAGAAAGGCCGUAACAAUGCGUUCAUAACUGCAACUAAAAUUGGCUAAGUUGCUGGGGCAGUGCUGCAUGCCUGUAAUCCUAGUGAUUCACGAGGAUGAGGCAGGAGGACUGCAAGUUAGAGGCCAACCUGGCAACUUGGCAAGACACUGCCUCAAAACAAAAAAUUAAGAAGACCUGGGUGUAGCUCAGUGGUAGAGAGCCCCCGAGUUCACUCCCCAGUACAACGAAAAAAAAAGAAAAGAAAAAAUAAGGCUACACUGUCUUUGCUUUUCUGUCUCUUGCCAAAGACCAUGAGACCCUCAUAACUGGGGAGGCCUCGACCUAGCUUACUCCUCACUGGACGGCAAGUGGAAGGAUGUGUGAUUACUCUAAGGCCAAGGCCACAAUAAUCUCGUGGGUGUCCAAUACUCACAGUGGCUUCUGAAUUUAGAAGCCUAUGGAUGAUGGAUACUUCUCCCCUAGGUCAGAAAAAUAGGCGUAUCUGGUUUUUGAAAUAGAAAUAUGUUUGGGUAAAAACAAACAUGUUUUACAAACAAAAUGACUUGAGUUUCAAUACUGUAAAUCGUAAUGCCCAUUACUGUGCAUAACCAUACUUGGUCAGACUGCAGCCUCGCCAGCUUUACUUGCCUUACACGUAAAAUGAAAAUUAUAAUAGUGCCGGAUAGGUAGGGUUUUACCAGCAAAUUGUAUAAUAUACCUAUCCAAGCAACUGGUAGACAUCAGGUGCUCAAUAAGACAGUUUUUCUCAGUCUCUGAGAAAGGAAAUCUAAUAGCAAUACCAAUAUCUUAAGCAUCCCAGGUCUCAAACCACUUCACUAUUUUGUGAAGAAAAUGUCUGGUGUUUAUUAGGAAGUGACCUUAAAGUUAUUUAGGUGUUUUGUGACUCACACUAGUGAUAACUUGGGACUGGGGUUCCCUUGGAUCUGCCUGUUAAGGACAGCAUUGUGCCAGCGCACCCUCUGGGAAUACAUCUUCCCUCUUCGAGCUCAUAGCCAUUGAGACCAAAGGGCCUAGCUCAAGCAGGGAGUGGGGAGGAGAAAGCAGACGCCCUUCUUGACACUGUCCAUCUAAUAGCGCCUUCUAGACAGGACCUCGUCUUUCCUCUGUGGCCACUUUAAGCUCCUCAAAAGGAGAAUAGGAGCCCUUGAAAACCAAUAGCACUUGGACUUACACAAGCUGGCUGAUGGAACGGGCAUACUAAACUUAGGUCUCCCAUGCCUCAGUGGCCAUGACCGAUUUAAGGUCAGUUUGGAAACCCUGUUAUGUCUGUAGAGUGGCAUCACCAUUUAAAACAUUUAAUGCCCAGAUCACAUUUUUAACAUUACACUUUCCUUCUCUGGUCCCCCAACUCCGUAACUCCCUGGUUCUUUACACGUAACCUUAUUCCACCUAGAAAAGGUCAUACAGAACCCAUGGGCCAGUAUCAACGUCUCCCUAAAGAACUUCCCUGCUGAUGAUGAUAUUAAGCCAAUCAACUGCGUAUGGACUUAGCCCUUCAUUCUCUGCCCUGAUGACACGAUGGUUGAGUCCUGCAGAGAGUAGAUGUGGUAUGUGCAGGUGGCUGCAGCACCUUUCUCCUCUCCCCUGUUGCAGUCCAUAUCACCCCCUGAGUGGUCUGAAAGAAGUGCACAUCAGCACAAACUUGUUUAUUCCCAUUUCAUUUCUCCAAGGAAAGCUCAAACCCAUUCCUCAGCAUGGCUUGCAAACGGCUCCUUGUGUGCCAUUUCUCUCCAUUCCCUAUCAUGCACUUUAAAACCUAGACAUGUUAAAUUUCCUGCCAUCCCAGCCCCUGAGUGCCCAUGCUUCAGUGGAUGCAGGGUGCGAGCAUGGUCACCGAUUCUUCUAGUAAGCCUGACUUGAGCUGCCAAGAGCAGGUGAAGGAACAGCCCUCCGUUUGCAGGGGUAAAGUUCUCAGUGUGGCUCAUAAAAGACAAAAACAGUUGAUUCAUCUUAACCAGAGAAAUAUCAUUAUUCCAAAGUCCAGAAACAUCAAUAGAGAGGGCAAAAGGACGUCAAAAGCUCAUCUCAAAGGAAUAGCUUCCUAGGGAAGGCAUAGAUCCUUUAUUUUGCCCCAUGGUAUGGCAGAAGGGAACAUUUUUUUCUAGUAUUAUUUUUCACAUAUCAUAAAUGGGAAAUGGUAUUUAAGGCAUUUUUUAAUCACCUCAGAAUUUAUGGAUUUAUGAAUCAUGUCGUUUUGUUUUGUUUGGUAGUGAGGAUUGAACCCAAGGGUACUCUCCUAUUGAGCCAUACCCUAAGCCCUUUUAUUUAUUUUUAUGACAGUCCAGUCCCACUGCACCUGAUUGAAUCCUGUUUUUUGUCCCGAGUUUUUAGCUUUUACAUAUCAAAGAAAAAUGGAGGUGUCUAAGAGAAGGAUUGGAGGGACAGAGAGAGAGUAGCAGGAAAGUCUCAAGUUAUCUUCUGCCAGACCGCAUGUGGUGAACGGGAAGGUGGGACAUUCUGAAGUUGGCCAACAAAGUUUACUUCUUUCUCUUUAAUAACUAGUUUCUAAAUUUGAGCAAUAUUAAGGUCUUUCUAAUUAAAUUUUAGAUGUCAUAAAUGAUUGACUGGUUUUCUUUCAAAAAGACUCCAACAGCACAGCAACACACCACAGGGUAUGUGUCAUGUAGAGGUAGCAUGGCUUCCUGACUCUCAGUAAUGACAGAUAGCCAUUGAGAGGAUUCCCAUGUGUCCUAUUAGAUGAUCUUUCCUGAAAGGUUUGUGACUCCUUCUUGGUUGCUGACUUCUAUCUCAUUUCUCCAAGGAAAGUACAAACCCUAACCCUUAGCAUGGCUUGCAAACGGCUCCUCAUCCUUUCCAUUCGGUUUCAUAUACUCCAAGAUCUAGACAUAAUAAAUUUCCUAAAUACAGAGUCUACCCAACAAUAGUGGAAUCCCUUCAAGCAAUAUGACAGGAAGCUGCUUGUCUUCUUCCUAAUACCAUGUAGAAAAUAGGGCUUUGAAUUAUUAUAGCUUUCCACUAUCAUACCCAAACCAUUAUGUUUCUUCCUAUUAAAAAAAAACAAAAAAACCUUUUUCUUUGAGACCACUUCCAUUUGGCUGUAUCACCUGCCAGCCUAUCUCACACUGUUAUUGACCAUUGGAUACCAUCAGAUAACAUUGUUACAUACCACUGUUAUCUCUCAGUAUCUAUCAUCCACCUCUGUCCAGCAUUAUCUGCCAUCCACCCCUAUCACUACUAUCACCCCUAUCACUAUCACUACCUGUCAUCACCCCAUCUGUCAUUAUCUGCUACCCAACCCUGUCUAUCAUUAUCCACCAUCCAUCCCUACCCAGCCUCAUUGGCCAUCUACCACUGAGAACUCUGGCUCACAGUCAUCCUCUCUGCUCUGCCAUAUUCCUGGUGACGAAAGUCCACAUGGAUAAGUCACCUGUCAUGCUGGCCUCAUAUUUCUGACCCUACUUGUUUAGUACCUUUACUUCUGUGCUUUAUGCAUGUAGACCAAGGCUGCGGCCUGUGAGUUUUCGCAUUCUAGUGCUUCGAUUGUGAAUCUGACACACCACUCCCCAAUAAGAGCUUUCCAUCCUCUCAUCUCCUUCACUUUCUUCCACCACCACACUGAGAUUUUCAGUCAGUUGCUGUCUCUAUUUUCUCUCCAAUUGGAGCCCCUUAUUGGUGUAUUUAUAUUCUGGAUUCAAUUGUCGAUAUUCUUUUGCCAACAGAAAGGUCAUCCACACUUUUCCUGAACAUCCCUGAUUUCUAGUGCCAGCCUAGUCAUCGGCUCUGCCAGGCAGGACUUCUCUCUAUCUCAAUUAGUUUCUUCUGCAUUCAUAACAAGAGUCGUGUCUUUAAUCAUUCUGUGACCUCUUAGCCUUGCCCUCAGCAGAUGACCUGCAUGUGACUUCGUAGGAGGAAUAAACCACCAAGUGACAAUUUCUUCAAUUGUGCCUUCUCAGUUACAAGUUUUCUCUUCUUACUUUCUUUACUCCUACUAAUUCUUUCACCCACUUGUUUCACCCACAUAUUCUUUCCUACUCUUGGGCCAAUGUCACGGUUUGACCAUCUAAUAUGUUACUUUUUUUUUUUAAUUUUUUUAAUAUUUAUUUAUUUAUUUUAGUUUUUGGCAGACACAACAUCUUUGUUUGUAUGUGGUGCUGAGGAUUGAACCCGGGCCGCACGCAUGCCAGGCGACUGCGCUACCGCUUGAGCCACAUCCCAGCCCUAAUAUGUUACUUAAUAAUGAGCUGUACAUCACUGUCUUCUGCAUGGUGCCAGUGUCACAGUUUACUCCUUGCCUACUUUGCUUAAGGAACUAUAUUUUCAAGCUCACCAAGAGAAGUUCAACUGAAGGUGAUUGCUCCAAAACUACCUGGUUGACACCAACAACCAGGCUCCAAUGAGGAACAGCCAGAGCUGGUACUUAUGUUACAUCCCUGGACAUCUACUCAUAUAUCAUACACAGAGGGAAGUCCCAGAACAAAAGAGAGAACACACACAAAAGUAAAAGCAUAUAUAAGAUGAAGAGACUCCAUUUUAAUGAUUGCACAAGUCCAAGACCUCUGAAAACAUGGAAACAGGAAAACAAAUCUUUCCCCCAAAUUCACAAUCCCCCAACAAAGGAUCUCACAGAUAUUGGAAGUGGAUGAAAUUCCAGAAAAAGGUAAUUUUAAAAACUGAUUAUUGAAAUGCUUAAUGAACUAAAAGAAGAUCUAAGUAAUUAAGGAAGAGAGAAAAUAAAGGAGAUGAAAGAACAUUUCAAUAAAUAGAGAUACUGAAAAGAAAUCAAUCAAAAUUCCUAGAAAUGAAAGAUAUAAUACUGCUGAGAGCCACAGCCAAGUCAGAAUGAUGCAUGGCAUUUGUACCAGAAGGGAGUGGUUGAGAGGUGAUGCCAGCGUGCCAUUGAGAUGAUGAUGGUUAUGUUAAGCUGUGUAUUCAAUUGUAUAUUAGACCCCUGCUGUCCCCCUGGGCCUGCUACUUUGGAGUUCUUGAGCUACUUUGGAGUUCUUGGGAGAUUCCUGGAGAGUUUGCAUUGGUUGGGGAGGUGCUGGAGGAGGGAUUUCUGGUGUGUGGUGUUCCUGAAAGGGCCACGUGGGUGGCGUUCCCGGGAGUUCGGAUAAUAAAGGGGUUCCUAUUUUGAACCCACAAGUGCCUCAUGGCGGCUCAGUUAUUUUGUGCCCAGCCAGACUGCGGCAUUUGGUGGCCCGUGUGGGGGACGCCUGAAGCUUGGGGGUAAGUAAAAUUGCUUGCCCCUGAGGAAAGGCGAGAGAAUAGGUGACCAUUUCAAAAAAAAAUGUGUUCUUGUUUUGAUUUGUUUUGUAUUUGUUUCAAGCUGCCUGUCCCUAGAACUUUCUCAAGCAAACUGGGAAAAAUGGUUGGCUCAAGGUUUGAAGUGGUUCGCCCCUGAGGAAGAGAUAGAGAUAGACCAUGAAUAUACAUUUCAAGAAAAUAGGAAAAUUGAAACAAUGAUUUUUUGUUCAUUUUUGUUUCACUGUGUUUCGGUUUUGUUUUGUGUUAUCUUGUUGGGUUGCGUUAUCCUUGUAGCACAAAUAUGGGAUUAGAAAUUAGUAAAAAACAAACCGAAAGAGUGUUAAGUAAAAUGCUAGAGGAAGGAGGCAUCCCCAGUAAAACCAAGAGCAGUCAGGGCAUACGUUGAUACAAUACAAAAAUGUAGCCCAUGGCUUUUUAAGGAGGAGUUGUUGAAUAUUCCACGAGGAGGAAAUGAAGAACAACAAUGAAAAUCUACAAAGAGAAGAACUACAAUAAAGGAAAAACCAACCAAAGGAGAAACCAAGUCAAACUAAAUACCAAAAUCCCCAAAAUGACUGGUAAUACAAUUCGUGUCUCUUUUAACCCUUUUUGAUAAAUUUUUACACAUAAAAAUUUUAACUAUAAUAUUAUUUAAUUUUUCAGGUUUUUGUUUAUUUUGUACUUAUUGUUUUCCAUUUCUCUUCACAAAGGUAUACAAAUAUUUUCUUUAAAAGUUUUUGCAUUUUAUACAUUAUAUUUUAAUAUAUAAUUAAUCUGGUAUGUGUAUAUAUAGUGCCUGUGCUAUGAGCUAAGGUAUAUUUUAGUCUCCUAUAAUUAAAAAUCCAUUAUUCAAGAUUCAAGGAUGAAAAAGAUCAAUCAGAGUAAAAAUUUUUAAUAAGGUAUUUAAAAAGGUAAGGGCAAGGUUGAGGGAAACUAACAAAUUUUGUGAAGCACCUUUUCUUCCGAAACUUGGAGAGGUAGGAGGUGAAAGAAGAAAGAGCCACUAUGAAAACCUUGUAGGAGAAGUCGACCUAACUGAAGUUAUUUCCACCAAAAGCAUGAAGAAACCCACACUCAGUCUAAUAGAGUCUUAUAAGGAGAAAUAAAACACUUUGCUCUACUCUUGUAUAUUCUGAAUUUAUCUCUUUGGUGUCCUUUUUUGACGGAACUCAAUAAGAAACCACAUAACAGGGGAACUUAUCAUGCAGCCUGCAGCAUAUGUCUCACCAAAACGUGAAAGAUGGAGAGAGGAGCCAAUAUGGCAGCCACUGGUUACAUGAAACUACUGAGUAUUUGAAAUGUAUAUAGUCUGAAUUGAGGUGUGCUAUGUGUUAAAUAGACAUUAGAUUCCAAAGAAUUACUAGAACAAAC
rnacentral:lncRNA from 1 species